GGUGGGGGGAGGACGUUCGGGCAGCAGCUCGGUGCGGCAGCGCCACCGCCGCUGGGAGACCCGUGCUGGCUGGAAGGCGCCUGCGCCCGCCUGGGCGGUGGCGCAGCUCCCUAGCGGCCGGCCCGGGACGGGGGCGGCGGCGGCGGCAGCGGCUAGGCAGGCGCUUCAAGGCGGUGGCUUGCCUCCGGCCAGGGGUUUGUGUCAAGUCCCCCCGUAUUCGGUAUUCGGAAGCCUGUCAACCUCCAGAUACCUAUUGCGAUUAAUGGUCCUUGAGAAGACAUCUUUGUGCCAGAAGAAAUACUGUCAAGGAUUGGAAUUCUAGAAUUAAAAGGCCUAUAGAUGCUGAACUAGAAAAAUACCCAGUAAUGGAUCAAAGGAAGAUUGACAAUAUUGUCCCCAAAUCACUCAAUUCCAGUGUUGUGUGGCUCAUUAUUGCCCACAGUCUGUGAAAGAAGAUAUUGCAACCUGAUACCUUCUGAAAAGACACCAAUAAGUGUUAAUCAAACUUCUUCUAUUGAAAAAAAUGAAUUUCCUCCAUUACCAGAAGGCUUAGAAAAAAGAAGUGCCAUGUUAGAUGGGAUUGCUAUUGGAGCAGCACUUUCACCAUCUCUGAAAGCAGAAUAUAGGAUGGGAAGAACCAGAAGUCAUGGAAUGACAGAAAAAAAGUCAGAACUGAGUGAUUCUACAACAUUCAUUUACAGUUUCCCCAUGAAUUUCACUGCUGAAGACUGGGCCUUCUAUGUUUGCAGCUUUUAUCUAUUAGCUGGACUGUUCUUCAAGUUAUUCUUUACUUCUCCAAGAUAUGACUCUUCACAGAGUUGGAUAUUGGAUUACUACCUCUGCUUACAAAGAUACCUCACUGUUUAGAAAAGUAAAAAUGAACAACUGCAUCAAAUAUUUCAGUGGCUUAGAAGAUGGCUAUGAGGAUUUUUUUUUUAUCCAUUUGGAAACCUGCUUACUCUCCAAUUUUCCCUUGACAUUCAAUCAGCCAAAUCUAAAUUUAAGAACCCUUUCAAUUUUUCUUAAGUUUUAGCAAGGGUUUAUUUUAGUAUAACACAAUAAAGUAUGGAGAAGGAUGGGGCAGGGAAAGAGAAAGAGAGAGACAUUUCCUGUUUCCCACAAAGGAAAUGAGAGUAAAGACUCCCCUUUCCAUUUUUUUCAUGCUAAGCCUUAUCUUUCUUCCAGGAAAAGGAUUUUAAUUGGUAAAUGAUCAUGCUGUGCAAGCAUGGGAGUUUGUAGAAGUUACUUAGUUUGUAGACGGCAAUUCCUAGCCUAAACCAUAAUCUGGCAAAAACUUUCAGAUAUAGAGCACAUAUAUGCUAUUAGCCUAUGGUGGUCUUCCAGAAAAAGAGGGCUGUGUGUGUGUGUGUGUGUGUGUGUGUGUGUGUGUGUGUGUGUGUGUGUGCAGGAGAGACACAGAAAGACAUGGAGACAGUGUGUAAAACCACUACUCUAGAAACCAGGAAUUCUUGUUUUUAAUCUUGACUUUGUUAUGGACUUGUAUCAUCAAUAGAAUUUCCCAAACUCUGCACUUCAGUUCCUCAACCAUAAAAAUCAAUGGGUAGAAUAAAAUCAGUGAUAGGCAAUCUGUGUGCACAUCUCGUAGUCAGGCCCAUGGUAGGUGUAACCUGUAAAUAAAGUGCUCUUACCUGCUGAACAAAGAUUUGUCAUCUGAAUUGUGAUUAUUAACAUAAUGCUCUGGAGUCACUACAGCAAUUACAGAAGAGUUAAAACAACUUGUCUUCAAUAAUCUUUAAGGCCUCUGACUUUAUCAUUCUCUACUUCAAGGCAUGAUAGUUUUCUGUUUGUUAGUGAGGCUUACUUAUUAAAAUAAGUAUAGCACUGAGAAAUUUACUGUUUACUCACUAUUUAAUAAUAUUAGUAAGAUGUAUCACUUACUAUUAUGUGCAAAGUCAUACAUUUUUACAUAUACCAUCCCCUCACAUACAUGUACACAGAAUAGUUUUGGUCAUCAGAACAACCUUUUAAAGUUAACUAGGAUUGCUUG